AGACCGAUAGCGAACAAGUACCGUGAGGGAAAGAUGAAAAGCACUUUGGAAAGAGAGUUAAACAGUAUGUGAAAUUGUUGAAAGGGAAACGAUUGAAGUCAGUCGUGUCUAUUGGACUCAGCCGGUUCUGCCGGUGUACUUCCUUUAGACGGGGUCAACAUCAGUUUUGAUCGCUGGAAAAGGGCUGGAGGAAUGUAGCACUCUCGGGUGAACUUAUAGCCUUCAGUCGUAUGCAGUGGUUGGGACUGAGGAACGCAGCACGCCUUUAUGGCCGGGGUUCGCCCACGUACGUGCUUAGGAUGUUGACAUAAUGGCUUUAAACGACCCGUCUUGAAACACGGACCAAG
rnacentral:rRNA from 2 species